CCCCUAGAUGUUCUGGGCUGCACACGUGCUACACUGGCAGGUUCAGCGAGCUUCAUGCCCUGAUCUGAAAGGAAUGGGAAAUCUUUUCAAAACCUGCCGUGCUUGGGAUAGAUGUUUGCAAUUAUUCAUCUUCAACGAGGAUUGCCUUGUAAGCGCACGUCAUCAGCGUGCAUUGAAUACGACCCUGUAUUCUGUACACACCGCCCGUCGCUCCUACCGAUUGAAGUUUUCGGUGAGUUGACAGGAGGAUUUUUUUGAAACUGGUUCGCCAGUGGAUUUUAGAUCCAAAUGCCAACGAAUCGAUGGCUUUAGAGGAAGGAGAAGUCGUAACA
rnacentral:rRNA from 1 species